UACGUAGGGUGCAAGCGUUGUCCGGAAUUAUUGGGCGUAAAGAGCUCGUAGGCGGUUUGUCGCGUCUGCUGUGAAAAACUCGGGGCUUAACUCCGGGCCUGCAGUGGGUACGGGCAGACUAGAGUGCGGUAGGGGAGACUGGAAUUCCUGGUGUAGCGGUGAAAAUGCGCAGAUAUCAGGAGGAACACCGGUGGCGAAGGCGGGUCUCUGGGCCGUAACUGACGCUGAGGAGCGAAAAGCGUGGGGAGCGAACAGG
rnacentral:rRNA from 1 species